AUUGAACGCUGGCGGCAGGCCUAACACAUGCAAGUCGAACGAGUGGCGGACGGGUGAGUAAUAUCUGGGAAACUGACUGAUGGAGGGGGAUAACUACUGGAAAGGGUAGCUAAUACCGCAUAACAUUCGAUGUGCCCAGAUGGGAUUAGCUAGUUGGUGGGGUAACGGCUAACCAAGGCGACGAUCCCUAGAUGGUCUGAGAGGAGGACCAGCCACACUGGAACUGAGACACGGUCCAGACUCCUACGGGAGGCAGCAGUGGUGAAUAUUGCACAAUGGGCGCAAGCCUGAUGCAGCCAUGCCGCGUGUAUGAAGAAGGCCUUCGGGUUGUAAAGUACUUUCAGCGGGGAGGCGUUACCCGCAGAAUAAGCACCGGCUAACUUCGUGCCAGCAGCCGCGGUAAUAC
rnacentral:rRNA from 1 species